CCUACGGGAGGCAGCAGUGAGGAAUAUUGGACAAUGGACGAAAGUCUGAUCCAGCUAUGCCGCGUGCAGGAUGACGGCCCUAUGGGUUGUAAACUGCUUUUAUACAGGAAGAAAAACUCCGACGUGUCGGAGCUUGACGGUACUGUAAGAAUAAGGAUCGGCUAACUCCGUGCCAGCAGCCGCGGUAAUACGGAGGAUCCAAGCGUUAUCCGGAAUCAUUGGGUUUAAAGGGUCCGCAGGCGGUUUUUUAAGUCAGAGGUGAAAUCCUGCAGCUCAACUGUAGAAUUGCCUUUGAUACUGAAAGACUUGAGUUAUUGUGAAGUGGUUAGAAUGUGUGGUGUAGCGGUGAAAUGCAUAGAUAUCACACAGAAUACCAAUUGCGAAGGCAGAUCACUAACAAUAUACUGACGCUCAUGGACGAAAGCGUGGGUAGCGAACAGGAUUAGAUACCCUGGUAGUCCACGCCGUAAACGAUGGAUACUAGCUGUAUGUCUACUUCAGGUAGAUGUGUGGCCAAGCGAAAGUGAUAAGUAUCCCACCUGGGGAGUACGAUCGCAAGAUUGAAACUCAAAGGAAUUGACGG
rnacentral:rRNA from 1 species